CCUACGGGUGGCUGCAGUGGGGAAUAUUGGACAAUGGGGGCAACCCUGAUCCAGCCAUGCCGCGUGUGUGAAGAAGGCCCUCGGGUUGUAAAGCACUUUCAGUGAGGAAGGACGCCUGGUGGUUAAUACCCAUCAGGAAAGACAUCACUCACAGAAGAAGCACCGGCUAACUCCGUGCCAGCAGCCGCGGUAAUACGGAGGGUGCGAGCGUUAAUCGGAAUUACUGGGCGUAAAGCGCGCGUAGGUGGCUUGAUAAGCCGGUUGUGAAAGCCCCGGGCUCAACCUGGGAACGGCAUCCGGAACUGUCAAGCUAGAGUGCAGGAGAGGAAGGUAGAAUUCCCGGUGUAGCGGUGAAAUGCGUAGAGAUCGGGAGGAAUACCAGUGGCGAAGGCGGCCUUCUGGACUGACACUGACACUGAGGUGCGAAAGCGUGGGUAGCAAACAGGAUUAGAUACCCGAGUAGUC
rnacentral:rRNA from 1 species